AAAGGAACGCAACCGCACGGUACGGGUUUUCAAGUGUCUUUAAAAACCACCCAUAACGGCGAGUCUCAACCCAGAA
rfam:Firmicutes bacterium GWF2_51_9 gwf2_scaffold_997, whole genome shotgun sequence.